GUCAGUAGUGGCGGUGUGGUGCUACUGCAGAUUUAUCGCCACAAACCCAGGAAAUGGGGAAGGAAGUGACAAUGAAAAACCUUUGAUAUGGUCAGAAAAGUUCUCUUCACAAGGAUCACAAACCAGACCCUCGCCCGGCUCCCACCGCCGCCCCCUGCCCCUACACCCCCCCUUCAGAGGGACAAGUCGCGCCGCUCCCUUGCCCUCCCCUCCUGCCCUGCUUGCCUCUGCCCUCCACUAUCCCACGAUUGUGUACUAGUGGCGAUAUGAAGAGAAUGAGGCGAACACUAGCUUCUUGUUCUCUCCCUGAUCAAAACAAAUACGCAGUUGAAAAUGACGGCGGACUGAUGGAGAUGUGAGAACAAACCAUAGCCCGCUACUAGGUUCUUACGUUCCGCCACGACCGCCGCUAUUCCAGUCUCACCGUCAUCCCCGCCACUGGAUCACCUAACAAACCCCAGUACCCAAAGACGAGACGGUCUACUGGAGAACCCUCAAGCCAGACGCCAGGCAGGACGCUGGGAACAAGAGUCCUGCCAGGAUUCCAUGGACCUCACCGCGGGAGCUUCUGGGAUCACGCCAAGAACAACAGCUGUACCUCCAGUAGCCUCAAGAAAAACACACUAUUGUGGGUGUUCCCGAGUUCUGAUUGUUCAUUAUAAUAAAGAGUAACCAACC